rnacentral:rRNA from 1 species
GAUGAACGCUGGCGGCGUGCCUAAUACAUGCAAGUCGAGCGAACGGACGAGAAGCCUGCUUCUCUGAUGUUAGCGGCGGACGGGUGAGUAACACGUGGAUAACCUACCUAUAAGACUGGGAUAACUUCGGGAAACCGGAGCUAAUACCGGAUAAUAUUUUGAACCGCAUGGUUCAAAAGUGAAAGACGGUCUUGCUGUCACUUAUAGAUGGAUCCGCGCUGCAUUAGCUAGUUGGUAAGGUAACGGCUUACCAAGGCAACGAUGCAUAGCCGACCUGAGAGGGGGGUCGGCCACACUGGAACUGAGACACCGUCCAGACUCCUAAGGGAGGCAGCAGUAGGGAAUCUUCCGCAAUGGGCGGAAGCCUGACGGAGCAACGCCGCGUGAGUUAUGGAGGUCUUCGGAUCGUAAAACUCUGUUAUUAGGGAAGAACAUAUGUGUAAGUAACUGUGCACAUCUUGACGGUACCUAAUCAGAAAGCCACGGCUAACUACAUG